AAGAAACCAAAAGCCUCUUAGCAACACAGACCCUUUGCUGCUGCUGCUGCUGCUGCUGCUGCUGCUGCUGUUGCUGCUGCUGCUACUGCUGCUGCUGCUACUGCUGCUGCUUGGCCCUGGCUGGAGACAUCUCACUACACCCAGGAGCAGCCACUUCCCCAGCUCUCCUCCUCCUCCUUCGCCUCCUCCUCCUCCACUCCCCCCCUUUAUUACCCUUUGUGUCAUCCUCCACAGCUCCAGGGAAGGCACUCAAAAGUGGGGGGCAGGAAAGGGUUUUGCUUUGUCAUCCUGGCCAGAGUGCAGUGGCACAAUCACAGCUCACUGCAACCUCGACCUCCUGGGCUCAAGUGAUUCUCCCACCUCAGCCUGCUGAGUAGCUGGGACUACAGCCCACAUAUGACAGUGGACAUAGAGGACAACGCAGAUAUAGAACAUUUCUUUUAUCACAAAUCUUGCUCUGUCGUCCAGGCUGGAGUGCAGGAGUGCAGUGGUGCGCAAUCUCCGCUCCCUGCAACCUCCGCCUCCCGGGUUCAAGCGAUUCUCCUGCCUCAGCCUUCUGAGUAGCUGGGACUACAUGCGCGUGCCACCACGCUCGGCUAAUUUUUUGUAUUUUUAGUAGAGAUGGGGUUUCACUGUGUUAUCCAGGAUGGUCUCGAUCUCUAGACCUCAUGACCCGCCCGCCUCGGCCUCCCAAAGUGCUGGGAUUACAGUCGUGUGCCACCGCGCCUGGCCGUUUAUUGAAUAGGUUUUUCUUUACCAUUGAUUUUCAGUGUCUACUUGGUCUUAUAAUUGUAUUUCCAUAUGUGUAUGGGUCACCUUCUGAACUCAUUAUUGUGUUGCAUUGGUGAAGUAGUUCUAAAUCUUCCCUUAAUUGUUGUAAGUUUAGAUAAGUCUUGGUAGUUGAUAAUGUAAGACAUGUCACAUAGUUCUCUGUUAGAAAUUUUAUAAUCAGUUUGGCAUGUUCUGUAAGAAAUCUUGUGGGGAUUUUGAUUGGAAUUGAUCUAAUUAUUAUAAUUUAAUUUUAUGUCCAAGACCAUGGAAUACCUCUCCUUAUAUUUUACUCUACUUUAAUGUCUCUCAA
rnacentral:sRNA from 1 species